rnacentral:rRNA from 1 species
AUUGAACGCUGGCGGCAGGCCUAACACAUGCAAGUCGAACGAGUGGCGGACGGGUGAGUAAUGUCUGGGAAACAGACCGAUGGAGGGGGAUAACUACAGGAAACGGUAGCUAAUACAGCAUAACAUAGGAUGCGACCAGAUGGGAUUAGCCAGUAGGUGGGGUAACGGAUCACCUAGGCGACGAUCCCUAGCUGGUCUGAGAGGAUGACCAGCCACACUGAAACUGAGACACGGUCCAGACUCCUACGGUAGGCAGUAGUGGGGAAUAUUUCACAAUGGGCACAAGCCGGUUGCAGCCAUGCCGCGUGUAUGAAGAAGGCCUUCGGGUUGUAAAGUACUUUCAGCGAGGAGGCGUUACUCGCAGAAGAAGCACCGGCUAACUCCGUGCCAGCAGCCGCGGUAAUAC